rnacentral:rRNA from 1 species
AAAACUGUGUAUCUUGAGUAGUGCAGAGGUAGGCGGAAUUCCCGGUGUAGCGGUGGAAUGCGUAGAUAUCGGGAGGAACACCAGUGGCGAAGGCGGCCUACUGGGCACCAACUGACGCUGAGGCUCGAAAGUGUGGGUAGCAAACAGGAUUAGAUACCCUGGUAGUCCACACCGUAAACGAUGAUUACUAGGUGUUGGAGGAUAGACCCCUUCAGUGCCGCAGUUAACACAAUAAGUAAUCCACCUGGGGAGUACGACCGCAAGGUUGAAACUCAAAGGAAUUGACGGGGGCCCGCACAAGCAGUGGAGUAUGUGGUUUAAUUCGACGCAACGCGAAGAACCUUACCAAGUCUUGACAUCCUCUGGCGAGUACAGAAAUGUGCUUUUCCUUCGGGACAGGGAGACAGGUGGUGCAUGGUUGUCGUCAGCUCGUGUCGUGAGAUGUUGGGUUAAGUCCCGCAACGAGCGCAACCCUUAUGGAUAGUUACUACGCAAGAGGACUCUAUUCAGACUGCCGUUGACAAAACGGAGGAAGGUGGGGAUGACGUCAAAUCAUCAUGCCCUUUAUGACUUGGGCUACACACGUACUACAAUGGCGUUCAACAAAGAGAAGCGAAGCCGCGAGGCAGAGCAAAACUCAAAAACAACGUCCCAGUUCAGAUUGCAGGCUGCAACUCGCCUGCAUGAAGUCGGAAUUGCUAGUAAUCGCAGGUCAGCAUGCUGCGGUGAAUACGUUCCCGGGCCUUGUACACACCGCCCGUCACACCAUGAGAGCCGGGGGGACCCGAAGUCGGCAGUCUAACCGCAAGGAGGACGCCGCCGAAGGUAAAACUGGUGAUUGGGGUGAAGUCGUAACAAAGGUAGCCGUAAAGCC